UAACUAUUCUAAUGGUUAAUUUCAAUAAAAAAAAUUGAGAAUUGAAACUAUGAUAUAAAUCAGAAAAAUAAAAUACAAAUAAAAAAAAUAGCACCCAAUAUUGGGU
rnacentral:misc_RNA from 1 species